rnacentral:rRNA from 1 species
GACGUAGGGCGCGAGCGUUGUCCGGAUUUAUUGGGCGUAAAGAGCUCGUAGGCGGCUUGUCGCGUCGAAUGUGAAAACUCGGGGCUCAACUCCGAGCUUGCAUUCGAUACGGGCAGGCUAGAGUUCGGUAGGGGAGACUGGAAUUCCUGGUGUAGCGGUGAAAUGCGCAGAUAUCAGGAGGAACACCGGUGGCGAAGGCGGCUCACUGGCUCAUUUCUGACGCUCAGGCGCGACAGCGUGGGGAUCAAACAGG